rnacentral:rRNA from 1 species
UACGGAAGGCAGCAGUGGGGAAUAUUGCACAAUGGGCGCAAGCCUGAUGCAGCCAUGCCGCGUGUAUGAAGAAGGCCUUCGGGUUGUAAAGUACUUUCAGUCGUGAGGAAGGUGUUAAGGUUAAUAACCUUAGCAAUUGACGUUAGCGACAGAAGAAGCACCGGCUAACUCCGUGCCAGCAGCCGCGGUAAUACGGAGGGUGCGAGCGUUAAUCGGAAUUACUGGGCGUAAAGGGCACGCAGGCGGUUAAUUAAGUUGGAUGUGAAAUCCCCGGGCUUAACCUGGGAAUGGCAUUCAAGACUGAUUAGCUAGAGUCUUGUAGAGGGGGUAGAAUUCCAUGUGUAGCGGUGAAAUGCGUAGAGAUGUGGAGGAAUACCGGGUGGCGAAGGCGGCCCCUGGGACAAAGACUGACGCUCAUGUGCGAAAGCGUGGGGAGCAAACAGGGAUUAGAUACC